GGGGAUGACAGGUUUCGACAGAUAGUUUGGGACAAAUUGUAAAGCGUGCAGGAGUAUUCGGGUCUUCUUUAUCAAACCGAUAAAGCGAAAUAAACGCUAACGAUUUUAAUUACAGCGCGAUUGCUGCUUAGUGCAAUUUGCCACUUUGAUUGUGCUUGUCCAAUCAAUUUUGGCAUCAAAAUGACAAGAUAUGAUUUUUAAAGUUAUUUCUUGAUUUGAAAAUCGAAAAUUUUAAGAGAGUGUUCAAAAAUUUUUGUUUGUGAAGGUUUUUGAACAGGAUAAACCACAAACUGCGCACGGAGAAAAGAUUUGUACAGAUUUUUUGGACGCGGGUUCAACUCCCGCCAUCUCCACCA
rnacentral:tmRNA from 1 species